rnacentral:rRNA from 1 species
UGUCAAGUCGGAUGUGAAAUCCCCGGGCUCAACCUGGGAACUGCAUUCGAAACUGGCAGGCUAGAGUCUUGUAGAGGGGGGUAGAAUUCCAGGUGUAGCGGUGAAAUGCGUAGAGAUCUGGAGGAAUACCGGUGGCGAAGGCGGCCCCCUGGACAAAGACUGACGCUCAGGUGCGAAAGCGUGGGGAGCAAACAGGAUUAGAUACCCUGGUAGUCCACGCCGUAAACGAUGUCGAUUUGGAGGUUGUGCCCUUGAGGCGUGGCUUCCGGAGCU